GGGACACGUGGUAUCCUGUCUGAAUAUGGGGGGACCAUCCUCCAAGGCUAAAUACUCCUGACUGACCGAUAGUGAACCAGUACCGUGAGGGAAAGGCGAAAAGAACCCCGGCGAGGGGAGUGAAAAAGAACCUGAAACCGUGUACGUACAAGCAGUGGGAGCACGCUUAGGCGUGUGACUGCGUACCUUUUGUAUAAUGGGUCAGCGACUUAUAUUCUGUAGCAAGGUUAACCGAAUAGGGGAGCCGAAGGGAAACCGAGUCUUAACUGGGCGUUAAGUUGCAGGGUAUAGACCCGAAACCCGGUGAUCUAGCCAUGGGCAGGUUGAAGGUUGGGUAACACUAACUGGAGGACCGAACCGACUAAUGUUGAAAAAUUAGCGGAUGACUUGUGGCUGGGGGUGAAAGGCCAAUCAAACCGGGAGAUAGCUGGUUCUCCCCGAAAGCUAUUUAGGUAGCGCCUCGUGAAUUCAUCUCCGGGGGUAGAGCACUGUUUCGGCAAGGGGGUCAUCCCGACUUACCAACCCGAUGCAAACUGCGAAUACCGGAGAAUGUUAUCACGGGAGACACACGGCGGGUGCUAACGUCCGUCGUGAAGAGGGAAACAACCCAGACCGCCAGCUAAGGUCCCAAAGUCAUGGUUAAGUGGGAAACGAUGUGGGAAGGCCCAGACAGCCAGGAUGUUGGCUUAGAAGCAGCCAUCAUUUAAAGAAAGCGUAAUAGCUCACUGGUCGAGUCGGCCUGCGCGGAAGAUGUAACGGGGCUAAACCAUGCACCGAAGCUGCGGCAGCGACGCUGAUGCGUUGUUGGGUAGGGGAGCGUUCUGUAAGCCUGUGAAGGUGUGCUGUGAGGCAUGCUGGAGGUAUCAGAAGUGCGAAUGCUGACAUAAGUAACGAUAAAGCGGGUGAAAAGCCCGCUCGCCGGAAGACCAAGGGUUCCUGUCCAACGUUAAUCGGGGCAGGGUGAGUCGACCCCUAAGGCGAGGCCGAAAGGCGUAGUCGAUGGGAAACAGGUUAAUAUUCCUGUACUUGGUGUUACUGCGAAGGGGGGACGGAGAAGGCUAUGUUGGCCGGGCGACGGUUGUCCCGGUUUAAGCGUGUAGGCUGGUUUUCCAGGCAAAUCCGGAAAAUCAAGGCUGAGGCGUGAUGACGAGGCACUACGGUGCUGAAGCAACAAAUGCCCUGCUUCCAGGAAAAGCCUCUAAGCAUCAGGUAACAUCAAAUCGUACCCCAAACCGACACAGGUGGUCAGGUAGAGAAUACCAAGGCGCUUGAGAGAACUCGGGUGAAGGAACUAGGCAAAAUGGUGCCGUAACUUCGGGAGAAGGCACGCUGAUAUGUAGGUGAAGUCCCUCGCGGAUGGAGCUGAAAUCAGUCGAAGAUACCAGCUGGCUGCAACUGUUUAUUAAAAACACAGCACUGUGCAAACACGAAAGUGGACGUAUACGGUGUGACGCCUGCCCGGUGCCGGAAGGUUAAUUGAUGGGGUCAGCGCAAGCGAAGCUCUUGAUCGAAGCCCCGGUAAACGGCGGCCGUAACUAUAACGGUCCUAAGGUAGCGAAAUUCCUUGUCGGGUAAGUUCCGACCUGCACGAAUGGCGUAAUGAUGGCCAGGCUGUCUCCACCCGAGACUCAGUGAAAUUGAACUCGCUGUGAAGAUGCAGUGUACCCGCGGCAAGACGGAAAGACCCCGUGAACCUUUACUAUAGCUUGACACUGAACAUUGAGCCUUGAUGUGUAGGAUAGGUGGGAGGCUUAGAAGUGUGGACGCCAGUCUGCAUGGAGCCGACCUUGAAAUACCACCCUUUAAUGUUUGAUGUUCUAACGUUGACCCGUAAUCCGGGUUGCGGACAGUGUCUGGUGGGUAGUUUGACUGGGGCGGUCUCCUCCUAAAGAGUAACGGAGGAGCACGAAGGUUGGCUAAUCCUGGUCGGACAUCAGGAGGUUAGUGCAAUGGCAUAAGCCAGCUUGACUGCGAGCGUGACGGCGCGAGCAGGUGCGAAAGCAGGUCAUAGUGAUCCGGUGGUUCUGAAUGGAAGGGCCAUCGCUCAACGGAUAAAAGGUACUCCGGGGAUAACAGGCUGAUACCGCCCAAGAGUUCAUAUCGACGGCGGUGUUUGGCACCUCGAUGUCGGCUCAUCACAUCCUGGGGCUGAAGUAGGUCCCAAGGGUAUGGCUGUUCGCCAUUUAAAGUGGUACGCGAGCUGGGUUUAGAACGUCGUGAGACAGUUCGGUCCCUAUCUGCCGUGGGCGCUGGAGAACUGAGGGGGGCUGCUCCUAGUACGAGAGGACCGGAGUGGACGCAUCACUGGUGUUCGGGUUGUCAUGCCAAUGGCACUGCCCGGUAGCUAAAUGCGGAAGAGAUAAGUGCUGAAAGCAUCUAAGCACGAAACUUGCC
rnacentral:rRNA from 1 species